rnacentral:rRNA from 1 species
UACGUAGGGGGCGAGCGUUGUCCGGAUUCAUUGGGCGUAAAGAGCUCGUAGGCGGUUCAAUAAGUCAGCUGUGAAAGUCCGGGACUCAACUCCGGAAUGUCAGUUGAUACUGUUGAACUUGAGUCUGGUAGGGGAGUGUGGAAUUCCUGGUGUAGCGGUGAAAUGCGCAGAUAUCAGGAGGAACACCGGUAGCGAAGGCGGCACUCUGGGCCAGUACUGACGCUGAGGAGCGAAAGCUAGGGGAGCAAACAGG